UGUUAUUGUUGUUCUUGUUGGCCUUGCAGGCUGCGCAGUUCCUCUUUCUAUAACUCAAAGAAAAGAAGAAACCACAAACCCCCCCUCUCUUCUCUCUUCUCUCUUCUCUCUUCUUAGGGUUUCUCUUUUCCUCCCUCACAUUCAUUCUCUAACCUCUACACGACACCGUUUCCAAACAACCCUUAGCUUUUGAGCCCACAAUUAGGUGAGUGCUGUUGUUCUGUUCUCAAUGGCCACCGCACCACCACCGCCACCUCCGCCACCACCGCCGGUGAAGUCACAGCCACUUCACAACUUCUCCCUCCCCUUCUUGAAAUGGGGUGCGAGCGGCAAGAACCACACCAACUCCAACCACCACCGUUGUCGCCGCCCUCCCGUUCUCUCCGAUCACGCAUCCGAACCCGAAUCCGAUCUCGACUCCCGACCUCACCGGGUCGGAUCCAGAACCGCCAGGAACCGAUUCACACUGCCUUCGUUCUCCAACAAGCAGCACUCGCCUCCCGAGAGAGGAGUCUCCAACGACGAAACCGGAGAGAGAGAGCGAGAAGCUGAGCACGUAGCAGAAGCCGCCGAAGCCGAAGAGACAGUGCAGAAGCCGUGGAAUUUGAGGCCACGGAAACCGGCGCACGCCAAGGGCACGGUGGAGAUCGGAACCGGAGCUUCAAGGAAUAAUAAUAAUAACAACAGUGGAGAAUUGCAGGAAGCGGUUCAUCACCACAACGGCGGAGAGAACCCUGCGCCGAAGUCGCUCCGGUUGAGGGGUUUCGCUGAGACGCAGUGCACGGAGAGGAAGGAGAAGAGGAAAUUCUGGAUCGCUCUUUCAAGGGAAGAGAUCGAAGAAGACAUCUUCGUGAUGACUGGGUCAAGGCCCGCUCGUAGGCCCAGGAAGAGGCCCAAGAAUGUUCAGAAACAAAUGGAUUGUGUUUUCCCUGGCUUAUGGUUAGUGGGGAUCACUGCAGAUGCUUAUAGGGUCGCUGAUACACCAGCAAAGAGGUAGAGAGGCUGUGGAUCGAAUGGAGGUAUAAACGACGCGCUGAAUUUUGUAAAGAGAAAAGGGAACGUUGGAGUGGAAUGAAAAGAACAAAGGAUGCUAUUUUGGUUGAUUGUGUUGUUUCCCGGCGCUAGGCUUUUUUAGAUGCAAGGGGCAACUUUAGUUGGUUUUACUUGUUCAUCUCUUCUUAGUCUAUCGCUGCUUCCCUACAUCGUUGGGGGGCAGAGUAGCAACCAUGUAGUUAAUUUGCAAAUCCCUCAACUCAUUACUGGGUUUUGUUAUUGGAGGCACUACUUGCUUCCUAGCUCCUGAAGAGGCCUUUGUCUGAAGAAACCUGAUGAGGUUGAAAGCUAAUACAAUGACUGCAUGCUUUCUUUUCAACUAUUCGUAUGCCUAUAUGUUUUCAUAUUGUUAAUUUCAUUAAUGCGCUCCUUCAAAUUUUGCAUUGAUAAUCUCAAUCAUGGCCAUCAUUAGACAAGCAAAAUCUUUGACAU